GCUCACGGCUCCCACUGGCUGGGCAUGAGUCCACCCACUGCAGCAGGCGGCUCUCUGCUUAAAGGGGACACUGCUGUUGUCAUGGCUGAGGUUCAACACCCUCACCCCCAGCCUGAGUCUGGGUAGGGGUCUUUGAAGAUGGCACACCUGAGGCCUCUGCCAGGGUCCUCAGACUGACGCCUGGGGCCAGCUCUGCCUCCAGCUCGCCCUGGGACUUUGACUCCAAAAGAAUCUUGCACAUAUUUCCCAGGACCCAAGCCAGAUAAAACGCAGCUGUUGAACGAUGCUGGAGGGUACCUGCAAGUCUCAGUUUAGAAACUCUUGUGCUCGGAUCCCCCUGGGGCCCUCCCACUGAGUCCCAGCAACUUCUCCCAGGCUUCAGUCUCCUUUGCUGCCAGAUGCAUUUAAAUGAGCGCUUAAGAUGGAAGAUCCGCAACCUUGCCUUGUUUCUGCCUCUCUUGCUGCUCUUUUGGAAUUUACUUUUGUGGACGAGCAGCUCCUGGAAAGGUCAUGCCAUGGGUUAUGGGAGCACUUCCAUGCAGGGUUUCUCUAAGCACCUGCUGUGCCAGGCACUGGGGACCGAGGCACCAGGAGACAAGCAGGAUGGCACCUUCCCUCUACCCUCUGUCCCUGUCAGCCCACCAAGCACAUUUUCAUUUCAUUUUAUAUGAAAAGAGGUUUAGAAGCAACUGGUGGUCUGUUCUGGAACAAGGUAGUAUUUAAAUAUUAGGCACACUAACCAGUAGAGCUUGGAGAGCUUCUGAGUUGGUGAACACACAGAGGUGCUGUGAAGGUGGUGCUGCUCAUUCGUAGCUGGUUUGUCUGAAGUACCAGAGGCUUGGAACUCAGGAUGAAUGUCUGAAGUGGGGCAGUCUUGUGGGUCUGAGCCUUUAACCUGCGGGGUCUGACUUAAUUCCUAGUAGUUAGUGUCAGAAUUGAAUUGACUUGUGGGACACCCAGUUGCUGUCCACAGGGAAUUGAAGAAUUGCUUAGUUUGGAAAACCACACAUUUGGCGUCAGAAGUGUUAUGAAUAAAAACAGUUCAUGAACAGAAGAGGCUGCUAGCAUCACAAAAUAGCAACCAGUCACUGUGGUACUUCCUGGUGGAAGAAUAAUCAAAUCUGAAAGUAGUCAAGCCUUCAGAUCCAAUGACAUAUACAGAAAAGAGAGGAACACGUGGAAUUAUACCAGAGGGAUGCAAUCAGAAAAUCCAAACUGGGAGACAACAGACCAAACAACAAACAAUUUGCAGGAUUAAAAAAAAAAAAAAUUGAGUUAGAGGGGAAACCUUUGGAUUAAAAGAGCCUUAAAAGAUGUAUUGCUCUCAUCACAUUGUACACCUCAAACUUACACAAUGUUAUAGGUCAAUUAUAUCUCAGUAAAGCAGAAAGUAAAAGACAUAUUGAUCAAUUGUAAAAAAAAAAAUAAAUAA